AGCAGUCGCCACGGGAAAACGUAGGGGGCAAGCGUUAUCCGGAAUAACUGGGCGUAAAGGGUGCGCAGGUGGUUUAACAAGUUAGUGGUGAAAGGCAUAGGCUCGGCCAAUGUAAGCCAUUAAAACUGUUUAACUUGAGUGCAGGAGAGGAAAGUGGAAUUCCUAGUGUGGCGGUGGAAUGCGUAGAUAUUAGGAGGAAUACCAGUGGCGAAGGCGACUUUCUGGACUGCAACUGACACUGAGGCACGAAAGCGUGGGGAGCAAACAGGAUUAGAUACCCCGGUAGUCCCUGUCUCUUAUACC
rnacentral:rRNA from 1 species